rnacentral:rRNA from 1 species
GACGAACGCUGGCGGCGUGCUUAACACAUGCAAGUCGAACGGAAAGGCCCUGCUUUUGUGGUGUGCUCGAGUGGCGAACGGGUGAGUAACACGUGAGUAACCUGCCCUUGACUUUGGGAUAACUUCAGGAAACUGGGGCUAAUACCGGAUAGGAGCUCCUGCUGCAUGGUGGGGGUUGGAAAGUUUCGGCGGUUGGGGAUGGACUCGCGGCUUAUCAGCUUGUUGGUGGGGUAGUGGCUUACCAAGGCUUUGACGGGUAGCCGGCCUGAGAGGGUGACCGGCCACAUGGGGACUGAGAUACGGCCCAGACUCCUACGGGAGGCAGCAGUGGGGAAUAUUGCACAAUGGGCGGAAGCCGGAUGCAGCAACGCCGCGUGCGGGAUUACGGCCUUCGGGUUGGAAACCGCUUUCGCCUGUGACGAAGCGUGAGUGACGGUAAUGGGUAAAGAAGCACCGGCUAACUACGUG